rnacentral:rRNA from 1 species
CAGUAGCCGCGGGAAUACGUAGGUGGCAAGCGUUGUCCGGAAUUAUUGGGCGUAAAGGGCUCGCAGGCGGUUUCUUAAGUCUGAUGUGAAGGCCCCCGGCUCAACCGGGGAGGGUCAUUGGAAACUGGGAAACUUGAGUGCAGAAGAGGAGAGUGGAAUUCCACGUGUAGCGGUGAAAUGCGUAGAGAUGUGGAGGAACACCAGUGGCGAAGGCGACUCUCUGGUCUGUAACUGACGCUGAGGAGCGAAAGCGUGGGGAGCGAACAGGAUUAGAUACCCCUGUAGUCCCUGUCUCUUAUAC